AUAAGAAGACAAUCUGUAUUGUUUUUUUUGAACCAUUGAUUGAUUUGAAUCAAAGGCCCAAAAUCACUUUUGUAUCUAUCUUCACCCUUUUUUCCUAUUGGUUAAAAAAAGUUGUGUAUGGAUUGAUAAUCUUAACCAUAGAUUAGAUAUUUUGAAAGGUUCAGAUUAAAUCCUUUUGUGUUUGUUUCUCUCUCCCUCUCUCACGCUUCUUCACUUUCUUCUUCUCUGUCUCUCUCUCUCCCCCUUCUCUCUGAAACAAAGAACAAUGAGAUUCAAACCUCGUCUUCAUCUCCACCACAGUUCGUCGUUACAACCACAAUUCCUAAUCUCACAGAUCUUGUCUCUCUAAUCUCUAUCUUCAUCACCACUAAGCUUUGUCACCACCAAACCUCGUCUUCGUCUCUACCACAGUUCAUCUUCGUUACAACCACAGCUCUGCGUGUGUGUUUUAUUUAUCUGGGACAAAGUUCUUAUCUUGUACCGUUAAAUAAAGUGGAGGAGGCUGAAGAAGCUUGAUGGUGGUGGUCUCGCCACCGACUCCAUAUCAGAAGAAGCAUGGCUCGAGACGAGAAGACAAAGGGCUGGUGAUUCAAGAACAGAACAUAACUCGUGCUCUGUUUUUUCUGUGGUGAUGCGACGACUAAGUGAUGCGACGACCGCACUCUGGAGGCUGGAGGCUGGAUGCUGGAGGCUGGAGGCGGAGGAAUUAGGGUUGUAGGCAGAGGCUUAGAUUUUUUUUUGUCGACAGGCAGAGGCUUAGAUUAGGUUUAGGUUAAUUACGUUUUGGUUAAUUCUGUUUUGGUUUAAUGGUUUAAUUUGUUUUUGGUUUAAUGUGUUUUAGUUACUUGUAUACUGAUUUUAAUUGAUAAAUAAAAUUUAAUUCUUAAUUAUGAA